AUCCAGCUGACGAAUCCCAAAUUGGAUGAAACGCACAUCCUGGAU
rnacentral:hammerhead_ribozyme from 1 species